GGAAGGAGGGGGGAGGGGAGAAAACAAAAGUUAUAUUCAAUCCAUAUAAAGUGCAAAUAAACUUUAUAUGGAUUGAAUAUAACUUUAUACGGAUUUAAUAUUGACUUUAUUUGCACAUUAUAUGGAUUGAAUAUCACUUUUGUUUCCUUCACCCCCCCCCCCCCUUUCCUU
rnacentral:miRNA from 1 species